rnacentral:rRNA from 1 species
CCCUUAGAUGUCCUGGGCUGCACGCGCGCUACACUGGAAGUUACGGAUUGAGAUACUACCUUGUCCGAAAUGGUCCGGGUAAUCACCUAAAAGCUUGUCAUAAUUGGAAUGGAUUAUUGUAACUAGUAAUCCUGAACGAGGAAUUCCUAGUAAGUCCCAGUCAACAGCUGGUACUGAUUACGUCCCUGCCCUUUGUACACACCGCCCGUCGCUACUACUGAUUGGACGUUUAAGCAAGAUUUUUAAACACUGACAGUGUGUAGUUCACGCUAUACUACAGUGAGAAGAAGAAGAUCGAGCUUACUUGUCUAGGGGAAGUAAAAGUCGUAACA